GUUCAAGGGCCGGUGGCCAGGAGCCGUGGGGGAGAUCCCCAUGUGGGGGUGGAGGAUCUCACGCCAGAACGGGGGAUGGGCCAUGGGGAUGGUAGCCGAGGGAGGCUGGUGCGGGUGAGCAAUGGCGGCCGGCAGCGUCGGGCGAGCCACACUUCUCAUGUCCGUCCUGCAGGAACAGGAAUUUAUGGAGAUGCCUUUGCCAGGGAAGAUGAUCUAUUGUUCGAUGUGUACAACAGAGAUUCCUAUGUCCCUGUUCUGCUGCUUUAUUCCUCUGGUUCUGUUGGCAUGCCUUGGACUACUUCAUCAAGGAUUAUUUUCUGUGUUGUUAACUUAGUUUCUUCACACUGCACGUCUAGAUCCGUUCAACGAGGCGUUCCUUUGCACAUAUUUGGUUUAAAAUUUCGCAUUACUUCUCAAAAAAUGGUUAUCUUUGUCACGGGAACAUGGAAAAGGAACUAGACUGACAGUAAGCCCCUAUAUAGAAAUUUAUAUGCAUUUAAUCCUCCCAGCCUUCCGAAUCCAUUUGGGAUAGACAAAUGCAUGUGAUACUGUUUGUUAUACAUCACUAUCAGUCUACAAAGAGGAGAUAUGCCUGGCUUUAACCCUUACAAGGUAACUUAUUCCCUAGAUACUUCCAAGAUUUAUCAUCCAUAAUCAACAAAGUCAAACACAGGUCUGACAGAAAUAUUCCAUGUUUUCUUAUCUCUUUGUGGCCAUCAAGAUGUAUGGAGAUGUGAUACAAAGUUGAUUUCCUAAUUCGUACAAUGGACUGUGCAGUGAAUCUCCAAUAAAUCUCGCAUGGAUGAUUACAACUUUUUAAUAGCACGGGCUUGCUAAUUGCUAUACAGUAGUGACAAAAUAUUUCUUUUUGCUACAGCUUUCAUAAUUCUAUACGACUUUCUCAGAGAAUUUAUUUGUUGAUCGGGAAAUACUAGCCUAUCGUCGAAUAUGAUUUCUAUGUGAAGAGGAAUUCUGUAUGUCAUACUUUUGCUUUCAGAAAGAAUUUGAUCAACUGAUGUGCUACUUUGAUCCUAGAUUAUGUACACCUUCAAUCAUCCACACUAUGGUAAUGCGAGAUGGAGCAGCGGACGCUGUCGACCAGCUCAGCAUGCAGGUUCUGCUCUUUCUCCAUAUUGAUGUGCUGCUAUGUUAUUUGGCCGGUCAAGGGCAACAGCUUACUAUCUCCUAAUACUUAUUACUGUUAGUUCUAAAAUGGGACUGUUAGUUCUAAAAUGGGAUGUUUACAUGCCAAUGGACGCAGAGAUCUGAAACCAGGCGUCUAUGUUUGGACUGUUUGAAUUUUGGGUUUGCACCUCAUUUUAUCAUUUAUCAUGUAGUACUAAGUUAAAUUUUAUGCUCUGCUGUAGAUUCUACGGAAGACAGCCAAACAUGGGUACAUGAUGCAUUGUGUGUUUAAAGCUCUGAAAUUAUGUAUAUAUUUUUUAUGGAGCAAUGCUAUACGUACGACUGAAUUUAUCGUAUAGUUUGGUACGAUCAGACUCAAGUUAGCAUCAGUCAGCUUGUGGGCCAGAUUAUGGGAGGUUCCUGGUUGGAAGAAAAGUGAGUUUAAGCAUUCUUUUCUGGGUAUAUUUGCACCUACAAGCUUCCUGCACUUGAUGAAAAUGGGGAGCCAACUACAGAAACGAGGAACAUACUGUCUCAUGUUUAGGUGAUAAAUAUUUUUCGUUCCUUUUUGGUUUCUCGGAGAUAAGGUAUGGGUGUCCCCUCAGAUUUAUGGAUAACGAUAUCACCUGUGUUCAUAGGUUUUACGCAUGAGAGUGUUGUUAUUCUCCCUGUGUGAUUCUGUGUGAAUAGUGUUGGAUUGGUCUUUUGUGUCGCUUAAUACAAACAGUUUUCCUGUGCAUCUAGCUUAA